rnacentral:lncRNA from 1 species
UUGGAUUUUCAAACUCCACCAAAUUCACCCCGCCAAUGUUCCCUCUUCCUAAAACCCUCAAAUUCUCAAAUCUUCCCUCUUCCUAAGAAUUUACAAAUUCUGUAACUCACUCCCACCUUCCUUAACGUACACAUUCCACCCCUUUCUUCCCUUUUGACCCAACCAAUUUCUAGGGUUUUUAUGUUUUUUAUGAAAUGUGGGUACCUUGGCCGGCUAAUCGGAGACGAAUGUACCACCACCGCCGGUGAAGUUGGCUGACUCUUUCUCUCUCAUGCGUAGUUUGGCCAUGUCGGAUUUGACUCAUUUGUGAGAUUGGAUGGUUACAAGAGGACGAUUGGUGGCCAUUUUUGCUGUAGAGAGAACAAGGGGGCUAGGGUUUGGGCAAAAAUAAUAUAUCGUAAGCUUCGAAGUCAGCUCUACAGACCUUGUCAUAGCGCAAUAUUAGUGUUACUGUCGCAAAUUGAAAACCAACCAUGUGCCACGAAAACAAAGCUAUAGCUCCGUCGGCAGCCGCGACCUCACCACCACCGCCGCCAACCUCACUCGCACCCUGAUUUGGUUUCACCCUACCGAUUCAUGAUGUACGAUUUGCGAUGGAAGGACCGCUGGAAGUCGUUCUGGUUUCAGGCUGUAAUGCAAAUUGAUGUUUGUCAAUAUGAAGGAACUCGCCGACGUUUGCAGAGAAUUAAUAGCAAAAAGUAGGGGGCUGACUUGGUGACCUUCAAUUCACAUCCUACAACUAUUAUAUAUACUCCUAAAAGUGGAUGGGAUGGUUUGUAAAUAUUGAUUAUUUUGCAUGUUUGGAAUUAAUUAUUCUAUAUCCUUAGUUUAUUCUACAAUGAAGAAUCUCUGCGGCUUUUCUCAUUGCGGCUUGCAUUUACAACGUCUGUAGCACCUUUGGGUUUUAGCACAUACAUAAUCUCUAGCGCAAAUAAACCAGUUUUGUAAAAGAAGCUUUCCACAAGCACACUGGAACAGGAAAAUAUGAUAGAGAAAUAGGGACUGGAAGUUUGAAGUUGUUAUAUUUUGGAAGUAAAGGAAAGUUUUUUCAAUAUGUUAACAGUAAAUCUCUACUCAUGGAAGCGUUCCAAACACACUAGUAGCAAGUUGUGAUGUAGUGAAGCCAAAAGUUGUUGCAGCUGAACACAUAUCUCAGAUCAACGAGGAAGCACACUCUUCGUUUGUAAAGAAGUAGAAAACUAUAAUGUGAUGGCAGUUGUAACAUCAAAUAUUUGAGGUCCGUAUUAUUUUUGGUUAAUUCGUAUUAAGAUCAGAUCUUUAAUUGCGUGGCAGUUGUAACAUCAAAUAUUUGAGGUGCUUAUAGGACAUGCUGACAAUGCAGAAUUCGCUCUUAUAAUCUGCCCAACUGAACCUUAUGUACUCUUUGGAGGGAGCUGAAUUUGAAGCCAAAUUCGGGAAGCUUGUUGAACUCAGGUUCAGCAGAGAUGCAGUUAUACAAGCUCUGAAGCUUUUUGAUGGUUGAUCCAAAAUUUGAUUUGGAUAUUAAUUAAGAUGAUGCGGAAGACGAGUGUUCCAACUAUAGAUGGGUCAAGCAUAUAUAUGUUGACAAGUAUGUGUUCAAGCCCUUUAUCUCAGUCUAAUAGGAUGAACAUCUGUUAGAUGUGCAAAUUACCAUAACAUGGGAUCUACAAGUAGCAUGAAUAAAACACUUGGGAAGAUUAUACAACAUCAGAACUGGUCACCAGUUACAAGUUUACUCCCCACCAGAAGAGCGGUAAUGUGGCUACGAACCCAUGGAUGCAAAUUUGCAGCACUUUUAGGUCUAAAAUAGUGAGUAUAUGGACUUGAAGAAAACAGUCUGGAAAUAGUUUCUAGUUUAUGUGUAAAGUCAUUUUUCUGUGCAACAUUUGUAUAGAUAGGUUUUGAUUAGAAGUUAAUGUUUUUAGUUAGUAUUAGUAUCUAAAUUGAAAACUUAUGUAUGGGUAUUUGGUUAUUAUUGUUAAUAGCAUUUGGUUUUUAGUUUUC